CAGCCGCCACGGUAAUACGAAGGGGGCUAGCGUUGCUCGGAAUUACUGGGCGUAAAGGGAGCGUAGGCGGAUCGUUUAGUUGGGGGUGAGAUCCCGGGGCUCAACCUCGGAACUGCCUUCAAUACUGGCGAUCUUGAGUAUGGGAGAGGUGUGUGGAACUCCGAGUGUAGAGGUGAAAUUCGUAGAUAUUCGGAAGAACACCAGUGGCGAAGGCGACACACUGGCCCAUUACUGACGCUGAGGCUCGAAAGCGUGGGGAGCAAACAGGAUUAGAUACCCCAGUAGUCCCUGUCUCUUAUAC
rnacentral:rRNA from 1 species